CGGGAGGCUGCAGUCGAGAAUCUUUAGCAAUGGGCGAAAGCCUGACUAUGCGACGCCGCGUGAGGGAUGAAGGUCUUCGGGUCGUAAACCUCUUUCGACCGGGAAGAAACGCUGAUUUUAAAAAUCAGAACUGACGGUACCGGAAGAAGAAGCCACGGCCAACUCCGUGCCAGCAGCCGCGGUAAUACGGAGGUGGCAAGCGUUACUCGGAUUUACUGGGUGUAAAGGGUAGGUAGGUGUCCUGAUAAGUUGGAUGUGAAAUCUCUCAGCUUAACUGAGAAAUUGCAUUCAAAACUGUCAGGAUAGAGACUGAGAGAAGAGAGUGGAAUUCUCGGUGUAAGGGUGAAAUCUGUAGAUAUCGAGAGGAACACCAAUGGCGAAAGCGUCUCUCUAGAUCAGAUCUGACACUGAGCUACGAAAGCUAAGGGAGCAAACAGGAUUAGAUACCCCUGUAGUC
rnacentral:rRNA from 1 species